rnacentral:rRNA from 1 species
GCACAAGCGGUGAGCAUGUGGUUAAUUCGAAGCAACGCGAAGAACCUUACCAGGUCUUGACAUCCCUGACAACCCGAGAGAUCGGGCGUUCCCCUUCGGGGGACAGGGUGACAGGUGGUGCAUGGUUGUCGUCAGCUCGUGUCGUGAGAUGUUGGGUUAAGUCCCGCAACGAGCGCAACCCUCGACCUUAGUUGCCAGCAUUCAGUUGGGCACUCUAAGGUGACUGCCGGCUAAAAGUCGGAGGAAGGUGGGGAUGACGUCAAAUCAUCAUGCCCCUUAUGACCUGGGCUACACACGUGCUACAAUGGGCGGUACAAAGGGUCGCGAACCCGCGAGGGGGAGCCAAUCCUCAAAGUCUGUCUCAGUUCAGAUUGUAGGCUGCAACUCGCCUGCAUGAAGUUGGAGUUGCUAGUAAACGCAGGUCAGCUAUACUGCGUUGAAUACGUUCCCGGGGUUU